UGGGGGAUAUUGCACAAUGGGCGAAAGCCUGAUGCAGCGACGCCGCGUGGGGGAUGAAGGCUUUCGGGUUGUAAACCUCUUUCGCUAUCGAACAAGGCCCGCUUAGGGUGGGUUGAGGGUAGGUGGAGAAGAAGCGCCGGCUAACUACGUGCCAGCAGCCGCGGUAAUACGUAGGGCGCGAGCGUUGUCCGGAAUUAUUGGGCGUAAAGGGCUUGUAGGCGGCUUGUUGCGCCUGCUGUGAAAACGCGGGGCUUACCUUCGCGCGUGCAGUGGGUACGGGCAGGCUUGAGUGUGGUAGGGGAGACGGGAAUUCCAGGUGUAGCGGUGGAAUGCGCAGAUAUCUGGAGGAACACCGAUGGCGAAGGCAGGUCACUGGGCCAUUACUGACGCUGAGGAGCGAAAGCAUGGGUAGCGAACAGG
rnacentral:rRNA from 1 species